rnacentral:RNase_P_RNA from 1 species
CGAGUCAGCCGAGAUAAUCGCUGCCUGCAACGAAAAUGCGCAGGGGGAGGAAAGUCCGGGCUCCACAGGGCAGGGUGCCAGCUAACGGCUGGGGGGCGCGAGCCUACGACAAGUGCAGCAGAGAGGAGACCGCCAACUUCGGUUGGUAAGGGUGAAAGGGUGCGGUAAGAGCGCACCGGGCCACUGGUAACAGUUGGUUGCAAGGUAAACUCCACCCGGAGCAAGACCAAAUAGGGUUCCUUA